ensembl:lncRNA
UACAAGUAAAACCUCUAUGGCCCAUCUUGCCAUUGAUUAGGAUAAUGAUAUGGGAUUUUCAAUCAUUACCAUUCUUUUUGUUUCUCUUCUAGUCUUCCAGCGAGAUUCGUGUGUCUCUGCUGCAGGAUCUGAGAAACAUGCAGGAACGGCCACACUGGCAUAGUAUCUUACUUCAUGCAAAUUUGAAUCAAUAUAUAAUAGUUAUAUCUGUUCUGGCACUAAAUUCAGAGGGUCAAGCAUGUGCGUUCUGUUGACAGACCAACCAAAGUCAUUAUAGCUUGACUAAAACUUGGCCAUAAACAUUGUUUGACAUGCUGUCUUGAUGUUGUCAUGGUCCCUGUCAUCGUCAUGCAGCGUCCUGAUCGAGGCGCCCAGGGUCCUGGUGAUGUGACAUUACAUUCCCAACAGGAUGUUUCAGCAGUAGAGCUGCAAGGUGCUGAACGUGCAGCCCAGGGUGGGAGGGGCUCUGAGUAGGGACAGGCUGAUGACGAGGAGGAGGACACAGAAACACUGGUCAGCACUGGGAAACCACCUCCUCAAAGCAACCAAUGGUUUAAAGAUGCCCCCGGGCUUUUCGUUGGAUGAGAUACCAGAGAUGAUAGUUCCUCCGGACGUCUUGGUCCAGCACCUGUCCAGUGGAGAACUUCUAAGCCCCAAGCUCUUAGAAAAAAGGGUUCCAAAAGGGUUCACUGGCUGUCCCCAUAGGAUAACCCUUUUUGGUUCCAGGUAGAACCGUUUUGGGUUCCAUGUAGAACCAUUUGUGGAAAGGCUUCUAAAUGGAACCCAAAAGGGUUCUACCUGGAACCAUAAAAUAUUCAAAGGGUUCUCCUAUGGGGCAGCAGAAGAACCCUUUUAGGGUUCUAGAUAGCACCUUUUUUUCUAAGAGUGUACCUGCGGGCCUAACACACCCUUUGCCACAUCCUCAUGGACUCUGGUGAGCAGGACUUUACACACUCAUCAACAGGGCUGGUUAACUCCAUUUGAAUUCAGUGAAUUUAAUAAGUUAUAUGAAGUUCCAGUACAUUAAUUAAUUGAACAAAUUGCCAAUGAAAGUCAAUGGCUUUCAGAUUGUUACAUGGGUCACAUUACCUGAUAACGUUGAUACCUAAACAUUACCACAUGCUGUAUGUUCUGUGAUUGUUCAAAGGACACGUGUUUGGAAGCGGUUUAGUGUUUGGCCCAAAGGUCAAAGGUAUGGGUCUGUCAGCAUGUCACAUCAAACCAAUGCACAAGUCUAACAUUGCAUGCAUCAUCUCACUUUUGACCUGAAUGACUUUGAAUGGAU